rnacentral:rRNA from 1 species
CCUACGGGCGGCAGCAGUGAGGAAUAUUGGUCAAUGGGCGCGAGCCUGAACCAGCCAAGUAGCGUGAAGGAUGACUGCCCUACGGGUUGUAAACUUCUUUUAUAAAGGAAUAAAGUGAGGCACGUGUGCCUCUUUGUAUGUACUUUAUGAAUAAGGACCGGCUAACUCCGUGCUAGAAGCCGCGGUAAUACGGAGGAUCCGUGCGUGAUCCGGAUUUAUUGGGUUUAAAGGGAGCGUAGAUGGGUUGUUAAGUCAGUUGUGAAAGUUUGCGGCUCAACCGUAAAAUUGCAAUUGAUACUGGCAGUCUUGAGUACAGUUGAGGUAGGCGGAAUUCGUGGUGUAGCGGUGAAAUGCUUAGAUAUCACGAAGAACUCCGAUUGCGAAGGCAGCUUACUAAACUGCAACUGACAUUGAUGCUCGAAAGUGUGGGUAUCAAACAGGAGUAGAUACCCCUGUAGUC